GAUUUCUGUUAUACUCUCCCACGCUGUCUUCUGUGACCUUGCCCCAGCUCACCAGCAGCAAUGCACCAGCCACGCUCUUGUCUUGAUGAGACAGACUAGCUGGGAGGCUCCCCAAAGCAACUGAUGAUGAGAGGGAAAUAAUUUGGGACCAUUUCUAAGAAAUAGAAGUUGAAAAGUCUGCUGAUGAUGCCUCUGAAGACUGACGCCUGAUUCCAACACAUCCCUGGAGUGAAGAGGUCAUGGCACAGAAGACGCUGUGGGGCCUUCUCCUCCUGGAGUUGGUACCAGUGGAUGUAGAGGUAUUUUCUACAGGAAGAUCACAGGUGAUAACAGCAGAUGACCCUGACCCUCUGGUGCCUGACUUUAUUCUUGCUUCCAGGGCACUUGGAGGCAACCACCCAAGGCCACUCUGAGAAGGGUUGAACCUGCUUUAUUAAAAGGACUGAGGAUCAUGUAUGUUGGUGGGUUUGGACUCUCCUGUAAGGUAAAUGCGUGUGUCAGGGGGUGGAGGUGGGGAAGGAGUGUCUGUGAUCCUGUGGGUGUGAUCUCUUUAUUAGAGGAUUUUUGUUCAUUGAAGUAGGUGUAUGAGUUGUUGUUGUUGUUGCUGUUGUUUAAGUAGUUCAGGGUGCCAUGUCAUGCAAUAUUUGGAAUAUACAUAAACCAAAAACUUGUUAUUUACCUGAACUUCCAAAUUCCCUGGGUAUUGUCUAUUUUGUUUGGCAGCCCUACCCUCAGAAAGUGAACUGAGAUCUGCAGUGCACCUGGAUUCACAGAUGGAGAUAUAGGGGACAAAACAAGUACAGUAAUAUAAUUGUGAAAAUUCAGUAGGGUAUACACAGAUUUUCACCUCCUCUAUAAGAAGUGUAUAGAGACACACAUUUAAAAUAUGCAUAAUGAGAUGUAGAACAAUGUCCCUCUCGGUGGUAGUGUUGGCCCAGCUCAGAGAGUUCAGUUUCUGCUGUCAUCACAGCUGGGAAUGAGAAAGGGAGGGGGCUCUGGUUGGUCUCCCUCUGCCACUGGACCACACGUGCAGGACAUGAAGCUGCCGUAGGAGCAGCUCUGAAAGCUGAGUUCUCAGGGCCUGUUGCAGGAAGUCAGGGACCCCGAAUGGAGGGACCUGAUGAAGCUGUGGCAGAAGAACAUAAAUUGUGAAGAUUUCAUGGACAUUUAUCAGUUCCCCAAAUUAAUAUUUUUAUAAUUUCUUACGCCUGUCUUUACUGCAGUCUUUGAACAUAAAUUGUGAAGAUUUCAUGGACAUUUAUCACUUCCCCAAUCAAUACUCUUAUAAUUUCCUAUGCCUG
rnacentral:lncRNA from 1 species